rnacentral:rRNA from 1 species
UGCGUAGGUGGCAAGCGUUGUCCGGAUUUACUGGGUGUAAAGGGCGUGCAGCCGGGCUGACAAGUCAGAUGUGAAAUCCCGCGGCUCAACCGCGGAACUGCAUUUGAAACUGUCAGUCUUGAGUACCGGAGAGGUCAUCGGAAUUCCUUGUGUAGCGGUGAAAUGCGUAGAUAUAAGGAAGAACACCAGUGGCGAAGGCGGAUGACUGGAUGGCAACUGACGGUGAGGCGCGAAAGCGUGGGGAGCAAACAGG